rnacentral:lncRNA from 1 species
CGUGAGAAACGCCCCUGGGGAGAGGCAGAGAUGGGUCUUUUAGUCUUGCAGCCCUUGUUUGUUUAAAAUGUCAGGCUGACUUCUUCUCAAUCCCAGAAAUAUUUUACUGGCAUGGCUUCAGCAAACAUGACUCAAAGCCUAGAAGGACAUGGCCAGAUCUCACUGAGUGACCAUUUAGUCCAACCUGAGGACUGAUGUUAGGAGGAAAAAUUCUUUCUCCAGGUCAAAUUAGACUUCUGCAGAUCAAAUAGGAUACCAAGAGAAGGAGGCACUUUGGCCAGGAUGGGGAGGGGCUAAAGAGCAGGAAACAAGCUUGGGGCGAGCUGGAAAUAUGUGUAACACAGGCUUGUAGGAGCACAGGCUUCCAGUGGCAGGGAAAUCUCCAAUUGGGUGUGUAGUAAAGACUUAAACCUGUUAAAAUAAAUUGAUUAGCCAAAGAUCUCUGCUCAGUGCUCUUUAAACUCUAACAUCUGUUCCCAGUAAAUAAUUCACAUAGCAGAUAUUAACUAGGAGGCUUAAAAGGAGGAGAUGGCAGCUUAAAACAUGCACUGAGAUGCCUCUUUGCCUAAGAAAUGCACACCCAAACCCACACCCAGGUGUUAAGGAAAAAGUGCUGAUGGUGCUGCUUCCUCCCUCUGUCCCUUGUUCCAGGCUGCACACCUGGUCCUACCCCUGUCCCUAGUAGGCUGGCAUCUUCACAGCUCCUUCCUCCCACCCCAGGACAAGGGCCCCUGGAACACUGGCCCGCAGCCACAAUAAGGGUGUCCAUGGAUUCCUAGGACUACAAGUGGUGGAAGGCAGCCCCUUCUCCAACCCUCCCUGUCACACAUACACCCUCCCCUGCAGCAGGCAGACAGCUCUUGUUUGCUGAGGCUCUGCUGGAGUCCUCCUUACCUGUCCCUCACCAAGGGACAGAUGCACCUCCGAUAAUGGGCAGAAGUUGGGUGUCAGUGAUGGGAAGAUUCUAGACCACUCCCUAGGAGAUAGCCCCUUCUCUUCCCUUAAGCAUCUCCCUCCCGACUUGGUUUUCUGGAUAUUCCAAGAAUAUCCUUUUCCUUGCCUCCUUUGCUCAGCAGUUUCCUGCGGAGUUCCAGUGUCUUCAGCAGAUCACCAUUGCUUUCAACUUUGGAAGGAGCAGGCCUUCUGGGGACACCCAAGACAUUCCUGGGCAGACAUCCCCAAAGAACAUUCAAGUCUGAGCCUCAAGGAGCCUCUGCGACUCGGUGUCUAGAUCCAGGAAAUGGAGAAUGAGCCGUGACUUUGGAUGCUUCACUCUUGUCCAUCAGGCUCGGAAUUGGUGAGCAUCUCCCACAUUACCGUCUCCAACGGAACAAGGUGCCCCAUUGGACAUUUCCUCUGCAUGGACCAGCCAUUCUCCAAAUCUGCCCCCAUGUCACCCCAGCUCCCCAUCGCAGUCACUUCUCACUCCUUGUCCCCUGUCCCCCUGAGUGACAGGACUUUUGCCAGUUAGGUCCUGUCCCUGUUUCUGAUCUUGGGUCCAUUCCCCAUGGUCCCUUUCUUGCUUGUGCCUUGGGAUCUCAGGCCUGUUGAAGUAGGAGGCAGGACUCAACUUCAGACCAGAUUGAAGACUGGCUGACACAGAAGAGGCACCAAAAGCACCUCUCUCUCCAUAAGACAUGCCCACCAGUGCCAUGACAGUUUACCAUUGCUAUGGCAAUGCCCAGAAGUUCUCACCCCUUUUCCAGACAUUUCUGCAUAAUCUACCCCUCAAUUGGCAUGUGAUCAAAAGUGGGUGUCAAAAUGACUGUGGAACUGUCCCUGAGCUGCUACUCUUGACAUGCUGGUUACAGGGUAGCCCGGCUCUGCAGGGACAGUCACGGAGCUGAAAAACUGCUGCCUAAUGAAGCUGUUUUCUUCUA